AUCCAGCUGACGAUUCCCAAAUAGGACGAAACGCGCAUCCUGGAU
rfam:Schistosoma mansoni, Puerto Rico, WGS project CABG01000000 data, contig: 0032